rnacentral:rRNA from 1 species
CGGACGGGUGAGUAACGCGUGGAUAACCUGCCUCACACUGGGGGAUAACAGUUAGAAAUGGCUGCUAAUACCGCAUAAGCGCACAGUACCGCAUGGUACGGUGUGAAAAACUCCGGUGGUGUGAGAUGGAUCCGCGUCUGAUUAGUUAGUUGGCGGGGUAACGGCCCACCAAGACAGCGAUCAGUAGCCCGACCUGAGAGGGUGACCGGCCACAUUGGGACUGAGACACGGCCCAA